UGUCGCCCGCGCCGCCGUUCCCGAUGGAUGGGUGGAUGGAUCGAUCUGCGAUCUGCGUACGGCAGGGUAUAUGUACUGGCCGGAAUCCGGCAGCUCGCACUUGGGAGAUGCUUCGGUUAGCCGCCGCGGGCUCCGGCUCCGGCGGCUGCGUGCGCGCUUGCAGGAGAAGCCCCCGCACCGUGGGAAUCCAUGUCCAUCUGAAAAGCUUUCUUUCCUCCAGUCACUCACAAAACAAUAAAUUAUGAUAAAAGUGAUUGUGAAUUCACAAAUGAUUAAACAACAAACAGAAUAAAGCAAUAUCUUAUACUUUUACGUCUUUUU
rnacentral:lncRNA from 1 species